rnacentral:misc_RNA from 1 species
AACGCACAUUGCGCCCGCCAGUAUUCUGGCGGGCAUGCCUGUCCGAGCGUCAUUUCAACCCUCAAGCCCCCGGCGGCUUGGUGUUGGGGACCGGCGACCUCGCCCGCACCCCCGGUGCAGGCGCCCGCCGCCCCCGAAAUGAAUUGGCGGUCUCGCCGCGGCCUCCCCUGCGUAGUAGCACAACCUCGCAACGGGAGCGCGGCGCGGCCACCGCCGUAAAACGCCCAACUUUUUCAGAGUUGACCUCGGAUCAGGUAGGAAUACCCGCUGAACUUAA